rnacentral:rRNA from 1 species
GACGAACGCUGGCGGCGUGCUUAACACAUGCAAGUCGAACGCGCCUGUCCUCUGGGUUUCUGGGGGGUGGGUGAGUGGCGACCGGGUGAGUAACACGUGAGUAACCUGCCCCCUUCUUCGGGAUAACGGUCUGAAAGGGCUGCUAAUACCGGGUAUUCACUGGUCUCCGCAUGGGGUCUGGUGGAAAGGUUUUUUUCUGGUGGGGGAUGGGCUCGCGGCCUAUCAGCUUGUUGGUGGGGUGAUGGCCCACCAAGGCUUUGACGGGUAGCCGGCCUGAGAGGGUGACCGGUCACAGUGGGACUGAGAUACGGCCCAGACUCCGACGGGAGGCAGCAGUGGGGAAUAUUGCGCAAUGGGCGCAAGCCUGAUGCAGCGACGCCGCGUGAGGGAUGGAGGCCUUCGGGUUGUGAACCUCUUUCGCCCGUGGUCAAGCCGCGACGUGGGUCGUGGUGAGGGUAGUGGGUAAAGAAGCGCCGGCUAACUACGUG